AGUGAACGCUGGCGGUAGGCCUAACACAUGCAAGUCGAACGGCAGCACAGUAAGAGCUUGCUCUUACGGGUGGCGAGUGGCGGACGGGUGAGGAAUACAUCGGAAUCUACUUUUUCGUGGGGGAUAACGUAGGGAAACUUACGCUAAUACCGCAUACGACCUACGGGUGAAAGCAGGGGAUCUUCGGACCUUGCGCGAUUGAAUGAGCCGAUGUCGGAUUAGCUAGUUGGCGGGGUAAAGGCCAACCAAGGCGAGGAUCCGUAGCUGGUCUGAGAGGAUGAUCAGCCACAGUGGAGCUGAGACACGACCCAGGCUCCGACGUGAGGCAGCAGUGGGGAAGAUUGGACAAUGUGCGCAAGCCUGAUCCAGCCAUGCCGCGUGGGUGAAGAAGGCCUGCGGGUUGGAAAGCCCUUUUGUUGGGAAAGAAAAGCAGCAGGUGAAUACCCCGCUGUUCGGACGGUACCCAUAGAAUAAGCACCGGCUAACUUCGU
rnacentral:rRNA from 1 species